rnacentral:misc_RNA from 1 species
UUUUGUGCGUUGACAAGGCUUUGGAAUUCUUGACUGGAAGCCAGCAGCUGAUCGUAAGUGUUUGCUUGUAUGAUUUCUCCAGCAAACAUUAACAAAAUAGAAUUAAAAGCAGGAAGGAACUCGACUUGGUGGGUCACGAGUAACACUGUCUUCAUAGACAAAGCUCCUAAGACAUAUUCCUGCAACAGUCCAACUUCCAGUCAUUAGGACAAUCACGUCCUUGA